rnacentral:sRNA from 1 species
CUCAGCAGGGAGCAGCCAGACACUGGCGACAGGACGAGGCAGAGAAUCCCAGAGACGGAGAGGGAGAAGAAGCACCUGACAGAGGUUCAGCGGUUAACACCGUGUCCUGCUGUUGCAGAGGUUGAAGGAGUUUCUACUUACUGUCAACUACCUGUGACUCCAGCUCCAAGGGACUCAACACUCUCUUCUGGCUUCUAGGGACACUGCAAUCCCAUGCUUGUACUGAUACAAGAAGAACUUAAAUAAAUCGAUACUAUAAAGGA